ACGGGAGGCAGCAGUGGGGAAUAUUGCACAAUGGGCGCAAGCCUGAUGCAGCAACGCCGCGUGAGGGAAGACGGUUUUCGGAUUGUAAACCUCUGUCUUUGGUGACGAAGAAGUGACGGUAGCCAAGGAGGAAGCCACGGCUAACUACGUGCCAGCAGCCGCGGUAAUACGUAGGUGGCAAGCGUUAUCCGGAAUUACUGGGUGUAAAGGGAGCGCAGGCGGGAUAGCAAGUCAGCGGUGAAAAUUAUGGGCUUAACCCAUAAACUGCCGUUGAAACUGUUAUUCUUGAGUGGAGUAGAGGCAGGCGGAAUUCCGAGUGUAGCGGUGAAAUGCGUAGAUAUUCGGAGGAACACCAGUGGCGAAGGCGGCCUGCUGGGCUCUAACUGACGCUGAGGCUCGAAAGUGUGGGGAGCAAACAGGAUUAGAUACCCUGGUA
rnacentral:rRNA from 1 species